ACAUCUCCCUCUUCCUGGUUC
rnacentral:misc_RNA from 1 species